GCGUGAGUGAUGAAGGCCUUAGGGUUGUAAAGCUCUUUCGGCGGGGACGAUGAUGACGGUACCCGCAGAAGAAGCCCCGGCUAACUCCGUGCCAGCAGCCGCGGUAAUACGGAGGGGGCUAGCGUUGCUCGGAAUUACUGGGCGUAAAGGGCGCGUAGGCGGCCUUGCAAGUCAGGCGUGAAAGCCCCGGGCUCAACCCGGGAAAUGCGCUUGGGACUGCAGGGCUCGAGGUCGGGAGAGGGUAGUGGAAUUCCCAGUGUAGAGGUGAAAUUCGU
rnacentral:rRNA from 1 species